AUGAACGCUGGCGGCGUGCCUAAUACAUGCAAGUCGAGCGAACAGACGAGGAGCUUGCUCCUCUGACGUUAGCGGCGGACGGGUGAGUAACACGUGGAUAACCUACCUAUAAGACUGGGAUAACUUCGGGAAACCGGAGCUAAUACCGGAUAAUAUAUUGAACCGCAUGGUUCAAUAGUGAAAGACGGUUUUGCUGUCACUUAUAGAUGGAUCCGCGCCGCAUUAGCUAGUUGGUAAGGUAACGGCUUACCAAGGCAACGAUGCGUAGCCGACCUGAGAGGGUGAUCGGCCACACUGGAACUGAGACACGGUCCAGACUCCUACGGGAGGCAGCAGUAGGGAAUCUUCCGCAAUGGGCGAAAGCCUGACGGAGCAACGCCGCGUGAGUGAUGAAGGUCUUCGGAUCGUAAAACUCUGUUAUUAGGGAAGAACAAAUGUGUAAGUAACUAUGCAUGUCUUGACGGUACCUAAUCAGAAAGCCACGGCUAACUACGUG
rnacentral:rRNA from 1 species